GUUUACGUUCCUUGUAUAACUGGCUAUAAUCUGAUACAUUUUUUCAUAAAAUAAAAAACUUUUAAUUUUUCAUGAUAUUUUAGGCCAUUUUGUAUAGUAAAGCGUACCAAGCCCUUUCCAUAAUCUCAAUUGGAAGAGCACAGAUCUACGAAUCACGGGGGUUGUGAGUUUGAUCUCCACAUGAGGUACACAGCAUUUACUAGUAGCAACUGAGGAAUCAACAAAUAGCAACUGGCAAACAGCAAUAGCAUACAAGGAGCAAGUCUAACAAUUUGUUAGAACAUAGGAACACAGUUUAGCUGGAUGUCAGUUAGAUGUUCUGCAUUUAAACUGGCUAGGGUUAUUCGAACUUCCUGGUGCAAGGCAGACCGUACCGUCUGGGCAAUCCUGUCAAAAUACAACAUAUAUCCUUUAAACAGAAAACUGAAAACAAAGAAAUAUAAUAGAAAAAUUCUCGUGGAUUUGCAGGCCUGCACCUCAUGCAGUACAGGCAUUGCAUAGUCAACUCAAGCUGAAUACAACAUUACAGAUCAUAGUACUUUUAUGAUAACUGUAUUUAUUUAAUGUUCUUCAAUGGUUGAAUAAACUCGUCGAAUAAAAUAAUGAAAUGCGAGGCUCUGCCGAGCAUUUUAUCAAUUUUAUUCAACGAGUUUAAUAAAUUCAAUGUGGAAAGUCACAAAUGUAAUAUUCUUUUUAUCACAUGUUAGCCUUUCU
rnacentral:lncRNA from 1 species